UACGAAGGGGGCUAGCGUUGUUCAGAAUUACUGGGCGUAAAGCGCACGUAGGCGGACAUUUAAGUCAGGGGUGAAAUCCCGGGGCUCAACCCCGGAACUGCCUUUGAUACUGGGUGUCUGGAGUAUGGAAGAGGUAAGUGGAAUUCCGAGUGUAGAGGUGAAAUUCGUAGAUAUUCGGAGGAACACCAGUGGCGAAGGCGGCUUACUGGUCCAUAACUGACACUGAGGUGCGAAAGCGUGGGGAGCAAACAGG
rnacentral:rRNA from 1 species